rnacentral:sRNA from 1 species
GUGACGUCACCAGGAUGGUCCGGGCUGCUCACUUGCCACAGUGGCCUGUUUGAGCCCGGGAAGCCAACGGGGCUGCUCAGCUGGACACCAGCCCCCCGAGCUGCCCAUGUUGGGGUCACAGGCCCCACCUCCCUGGUUGGGGAGGGGCAACUGAGAGUGUGGAGAGGUGGGACCCAGGCCCUACAUCAUUCGAGGAAUGGCGCCCCCGACGACGCCCUGCAGCACCGACGUGUGUGACAGCGACUACAGCGCCAGCCGCUGGAAGGCCAGCAAGUACUACCUGGAUUUGAACUCGGACUCAGACCCCUACCCACCCCCACCCACGCCCCACAGCCAGUACCUGUCGGCGGAGGACAGCUGCCCGCCCUCGCCUGCCACCGAGAGGAGCUACUUCCAUCUCUUCCCGCCCCCUCCGUCCCCCUGCACGGACUCAUCCUGACCUCGGCCGGGCCACUCUGGCUUCUCUGUGCCCCUGUAAAUAGUUUUAAAUAUGAACAAAGAAAAAAAUAUAUUUUAUGAUUUAAAAAAUAAAUAUAAUUGGGAUUUUAAAA